UGCGCAGGCGGUCUUGCAAGUCAGAUGUGAAAGCCCCGGGCUUAACCUGGGAAUUGCGUUUGAAACUACAAGGCUAGAGUGCAGCAGAGGGGAGUGGAAUUCCAUGUGUAGCAGUGAAAUGCGUAGAGAUGUGGAAGAACACCGAUGGCGAAGGCAGCUCCCUGGGUUGACACUGACGCUCAUGCACGAAAGCGUGGGGAGCAAACAG
rnacentral:rRNA from 1 species